rnacentral:lncRNA from 1 species
UAUACCACACACAUAUGAUCAAAGACAUCAAUGAAAUUAAGGAUAAUAAUAUAAAUGAUAAAAUAAUACAAAGAUGAAAAGUGGCAAAUAUGGUAAAUAGUAUGAUUACAUACUGUAGAUGCAAGCCACUAUCUAUAGUGUCAUCAAGUAACUCUUGUAUCUGUUUAUAUACACAUGAAAAUGUUGUGUUCCUAAUAUUCAAUCUUUGUUACACUCAAAGUGGAGAAUUAGUUUCUAGAAUUAUGCCACAUUUAAUUUUCCAGUUCAAAAAGUAUGUUUACACUUUACAACCUUUUGGUAUUUACAUCAAAUGUAUUAAAGUCAGGAUAUGAAGUUUUUACUUGGAGAACUGAGUGUUGUUUGAUUCCUGGUUUUUAUAAUUUUCAUUCCGAAAAUGUUGGUGACAUUUCGAAACAAUAGAAUUAUCCAGGUUGACCUACAUGUUUUGACUCCUUCCACUUAAUAGACUCACACACAAAGAACAUUUGAACACUCUGCUUAAAACUUGACUAAAGGAUGAAUGUUAUAGUAAUAAUCUAUAACCAAUAAUCAGAUGUAUCUUCUGUAUAUCAUUGAAGGAACUGACAUGUCACUCUAAAUGUGUUUUGAGUGGUAAUAAUUGUAAAGGCAUAGAUAUAGUGGUAACUAUAAUUUUUUUGUUGAUAAAUUCGUAAAAGGCCUUCAGAACCUAUCUAUCAAUCCUGAAGCAACUUCUUCAAAAUUAUGUUUUAAAUUUCCAUGAAGGUUUGAAAAAGUUAUGGAUAUAUACUAGACAAAGUGAUGCCCCUGC